GUGGGGAAUAUUGGACAAUGGGCGAAAGCCUGAUCCAGCCAUGCCGCGUGUGUGAAGAAGGUCUUCGGAUUGUAAAGCACUUUAAGUUGGGAGGAAGGGCAGUAAGUUAAUACCUUGCUGUUUUGACGUUACUCGCAGAAUAAGCACCGGCUAACUCUGUGCCAGCAGCCGCGGUAAUACGAAGGGUGCAAGCGUUAAUCGGAAUUACUGGGCGUAAAGCGCGCGUAGGUGGUUUUGUAAGUUGGAGGUGAAAUCCCCGGGCUCAACCUGGGAACUGCCUCCAAAACUGCAUGACUAGAGUACGGUAGAGGGUAGUGGAAUUUCCUGUGUAGCGGUGAAAUGCGUAGAUAUAGGAAGGAACACCAGUGGCGAAGGCGACUACCUGGACUGAUACUGACACUGAGGUGCGAAAGCGUGGGGAGCAAACAGGAUUAGAAACCCUUGUAGUCC
rnacentral:rRNA from 1 species